rnacentral:rRNA from 1 species
GAUGAACGCUGGCGGCGUGCCUAACACAUGCAAGUCGAACGGACAGGCCCGGCUCUUGUGGGUUGCUCGAUUGCCGAACGGGUGAGUAACACGUGAGUAACCUGCCCUUGACUUAGGGAUAACUCCACGAAACUCGGGCUAAUACCGGAUAUGAGCUCUUGAUGCACGGUGGGCGUUGGAAAAUUUCGGUGGUUGGGGAUGGACUCGCGGGUUCUCAGCUUGUUGGUGGGGUAGUGGCUUACCAAGGCAUUGAGGGGUAGCCGGCCUGAGAGGUUGACCAGCCACAUUGGGACUGAGGUACGGCGCAGACGGCUACGGGAGGCAGCAGUGGGGAGUAUUGCACAGUGAGCGGGAGCGUGAUACAGCGGCGCCGCGUGCGGGAUGCCGGCCUUCGGGGUGUAAACCACUUUCGCCUGUGACGAAGCGUGAGUGACGGUAAUGGGUAAGGAAGCACCGGCUAACUACGUG